UUUAUACUGCAUUUCAAUCUCCAAUGGGCUGUGUGCAUUUUAAUAAAUGCUGGCGAUUAGGGCAAUGAAAAGAGAUAUUCAGAAAACACGAUUUUCUUUCUAUUCUUGGUAGCCAAUCAUGCUACCCUAACUGGUUAUGUUGUUGUUUCCUUAAACCCAUGGGUGAGACUAAAGAGGGGGAAAGAAGUAGACAAGUGGGCAAUUGCCUGGAUAUCUUUGUCAGUGAUGGUAGCAGUUGCUAUGAACUGGGAUCUGGUAUCCACAGGUAGCCAGUGGCAGGCUCGGGGGGAUCACCCCAGUCACUUCUCCACCCAGUCCCAGGCUGCAUUGGAAAAAUUCGAAACCUAGAGUUUCUUGAAAGCCAUAAAGCCACGUCCCCUCCGCCGACCAGGAGGCCCUAGGGUGCGUCCACGACAGAAUGGGGUGGGGGCCUGGCGUCAGCUGGCUGAUCUGUCUGGGACACAGCUGCAGGGACCGGAGCCCUUCUCGGACUCGGCUCCUUUCAGAAAACAUUUUCCCCCUCGGAUGUGGUUUUCCGUUAAUUAAUCACUCAUGGGCCUGCGUCCGUGGAGCCGUUUUCCCACUCAUCCUUCGGCUUCGCUACAAUCCGCGUUUGGAAAGGGCCAAUUGGCUCAUUUCUUAGGGGUGGCUGGGCUGAGGAUUCUAACAUGGAUCUGCUCUGUGGCUACUGCCCGCAUGUUGCCAAACGACCUUGUAGAAGGUCUGCUUCCCUCUCCAGAUCUUCUAGCCUGUAGGCCAUGCUAGUCUUGAGCCUUCUCGGGUCUAGGCUGCGGCCUGGGUGGUCCAGGUGCUCAGGGUGGUCUUUGCACCGCAUCAUUCGUUCCUUUAGGAUCCUUCGGCAUCCCGCUGACACCAGCCCCGUUUCGCUCCUCCCCUGUCUUCCUUCGAGGGCCUCUCCGGGCCUGUCUUGGCCUCGGGCACUAGAACAUUCUGAACUAGGCCAGACAAACUAGCCAGGCUGCUGACUGUGGGGUACCCUGAGGCUGUCUUCCCCUGGCCUUAGCUGUGCAGUAUCCUCUUGGCAAAGCCUGAUCCAGGCCCCAGCAUCCUGCGGGCGGGGCAGGAGAGUCCCCACGUAGUGGGAGAACGCUAACUCUGUUCCCUAUUUGUGUUUUAAUGCUCUCGCCGCUUCCGAGCCACGAACAGAAGCCUCCUACGCGGGCCUCAGCUUUAAGAACGCAUCCAGAUGUGGCUGGGACCACCCUGUGCCUCGGGUGUCUCCAAAUGUGGCGCAGGCCACCCCACGCCGAGCGAGGCAACAGGCCCCAAAACAGGCAAGUGGGGUUACACCAAACUGAAGUGCCUCUGCACAGCAAAGGACAUCAGUGACAGUGAAGAGAGAGCCCACCAAACCAGGGGACAACGCAAUGUUCUAAAAUGGAUUGUGGUCAUGGGUGCACAAUUCAGGGAGGAUACUAAAAAGCAGUUGAAUGGAGUGCUCCGUGGAUGAACUGCACGGCAUUGUGUCAGGUCAGCUUGAGGAAUGAAUAUAUGUUUCGGGGAAGAAGGUCCCAUUACUGAACUGGCUUUGUCAUAAAAGCCUCUCAUGGCUACAGGUGCCAAUGUGACUCAUGACUGCAGAGCAGGAAGAGCUUCAACUGGGAGACAGCUGCUGACAAGGUUUCCACUAGAAGGUUUUUUGUGGAGGAGAAACCCAACCCACUCACUUCAUGAGUAUACAUGGACCUGGAAGACCAGAGGAGUGACACACAAGCCAAGGUAUGAGCUUGUAAAGAGUGUGAUAGCAUGCCAGUGGAAGAUAACGUGAAAACAGAAGUGUGUAUCCAUGGAAAAUGAGGCUCUUAAGCCUUUUAACUUGCUUCUCUCUGGUGUCUGUCCUAACAGUGAACAACUAACAAAUACUUCCGUUGGCUUUGUUAUAUUGACUAUGACAGGGGUAAAGCCUACUUCAUCAUCGCCUGCAGGACUUUAUCAAAUGUUGUUGGGUUCGGGUUGUUGUUUCUUUUCCACAGCAAUGCUGAGGAUCAAGCCUGGUUCCUUGUUCAUGUGUGUAAACAAUCUGGGCUGGGGAUCCAUCCACAGCACUGGGUUGCUAAUACAUACAUACAUACAUACAUACAUACAUACAUACAUACAUAUGUACAUUCAUACAUACAUACACACAUAUGCACAUAUGUACGUACAUACAUACACGUCCAAUCAAUUUUCUAACUAUCCCUGGCGUCUUUUGAGUCUGGUCUGAUUUCCACAUACUUGGUUGUGAGACUUACCACUGUUCUCUUGGAUCAUCACAAAAGCUUCCAACCUAUUGGAGCAGCAGUAGCUGUCUGAGAACCACAGCACCAUGAGCUUUUCUGAACUUUUACCCGACUUGAAAACCAACACAUUAACCUGAAUUCCAGGAGCUUCACAGAUGUGGACACAAUCCACGGCGUCCUGGAUUUCUAACCCCCAGAAUAUCAAGCCAGGAGGCGUUCACAUUCUCUGUUUUCCAAGUAUCCCUGAGGCAUUCUCAAGUGACCCAGGUAGGUGCUACACAUUUGCUGGUGCUCUGCCUCUGCAGAGAAACCCAGGCCUAAGGAACCCAAAUCUUUCCAGGGGUUUAAGCAGGGUAGCUUUCCCCCUUGUUCUGGAGACCUCUACCCUCUAAAGAUGUUUGCUAUGCAAAUGUUGUCACAAAAAUAAACGAGAACCAAAGGGCAGUUACCAUCUCGCUUCUCCCAAUAACCCAUUAAAUCCAAAUCAGGUCAACCAGCAGCCCUCAUACCAGAAGAAGGAAGACAGCCUUCUCCUUCCCCAGCCUUGAUGCUCACUCCCCCCCCCUCACAACAUGGAAGUGAAGCAACCUGGAACACCCCCAGCAGCCUGUGUUCAUCCUGCCCUCAGGUCUUGGCUUGGGUUAUCUUCUUUGCCUGAAUCCUUUGCCAGAUAUAGCAGCUUUGUCUUAGACUUUCCAGUCUCCAGAACUGCGAGCCAAAACAAACCCAUCUUCUUUAUAAAUUACCCAGUCUCCAGCAUUCUCUUAUAGAACCAGAAGGCUAGACCAAGACACUAUCGAAUUCCACUCCUCUUUCCAAACAGACCCAGAGAACGGGUACAGGACAGCAUAGCUUUGCAUGAUACAGCCUUCCGAAAUGCUGUGAACAACUACUAAUUCGUUCCAGAAACACUCUGGUUAUUUGAUCGUUUGUGUGAUUCAUCAGCUUUGAAAGAGCCUCGGGAGUCGCUGCCUGCUCCUCUUACACAGGCCCUGCUUUUCGGUUUUGCUUUCUGUGAAACGGAGUUAAUGGCAUUAGCCACUGAUCUGGCUUAAGAAGAGAAAAUGAGGAGAAAUAGCAGGAGGCUUACCAAGCACUGGCGAGAACACAUUGGAAAAUCUGAGGCAGACCCGGAGGAGGUGAGUGGUCCCACUUGGCAUCUCCUUUAUUGGUUGUGUCAUGUUUUGCACUCUGUGCCUCGUGGCAAUGGCCCAACCUAUAGAUUGACAUUUUGGUCUCAUACUCAUGGAGCGUAACUCUGGCCUGUCUUCUACCACUCAGGGAUCUCCCUAUGCUACCCAAGUGCCCAUUGCACUGCCUGGGCAUUCUGAGUGCCCACUGCCUACUUGUUGGAUUGAGGAUUUGAGGAGAGAGUCCUCUCAGGUUUGUGACUGGGUCAGAACUGUGGGCAGCCUCUCUCAUGGAAACAGUGGGGUAGGUGUGGGAGCCUUCUGUCAGAUACCUGAGAGUAGUCUGCUCUUACAAAGAAAGGUUGUUUGCAUUCAAUUCUGGAGUUUCCCUUCCUGUGUGGUCAGUUGACCUCACUGCUUUAGCCUGAGGUGAAGUCUCAUAGGGCAGAGCAAAGCCAUUUGCCUCAGAACCAGUUGGUGCCACAGACACAUCCCCAAUGACCUCGCCUACCCCUCUAGGUGUCACCUUUAAAAGGCCACCACCUCCCAGCAGCAACUCACUGGACACCAAACCUUUAUCACAUGGAUUUUAGGGGCGGGGCAUUCAGUGCCAAGCGAUAGCAACUGGAAGUAGAGAGAAACAUCUGGACCGAGAAACUCGGUCUGGCUCCUGCUGACUCUCGUUUCCCCAAUUGAGCUAUAAACCUUUUCUUUGAAAGAGUUUUACCCCUUGUUCACAGAACCUCUAGCACGCUAGCUCACGGUGCACAGCAAACCUGGAAGUUGACGUGGAAGUAAAAUUCCAGGCGCGAUGAAGUGAAAAGCGAGUCACUCACCAACAGUUGUCACAGACCUCAGAUGGACUGUGCGACCCGUGGGAACUCCACAGUGAGCUAGCCAACAGUCACCCCUUCUCUCCCACCCAUCUGGGCUUACAGGCAUGUCCUGACAGUGAUGUAUGGUCACUGGAGGGGCACAGUGGGGGACAAGGCAUGGUUAAGCAAUAAAAGUCCAUUUUCCACA